GCGGGAGUAGUUCAAUGGUUAGAGCCUCAGCCUUCCAAGCUGAUAAUGCGGGUUCGAAUCCCGUCUCCCGCU
rfam:Lysobacter antibioticus strain 76, complete genome.